rnacentral:rRNA from 1 species
UGGGGAAUAUUGCACAAUGGGCGCAAGCCUGAUGCAGCGACGCCGCGUGCGGGAUGACGGCCUUCGGGUUGUAAACCGCUUUCAGCAAGGAAGAAGCUUUAUUGUGACGGUACUUGCAGAAGAAGCGCCGGCUAACUACGUGCCAGCAGCCGCGGUAAUACGUAGGGCGCGAGCGUUAUCCGGAAUUAUUGGGCGUAAAGAGCUCGUAGGCGGUUUGCCACGUCUGCUGUGAAAGCCCGGGGCUCAACCUCGGGUGUGCAGUGGGUACGGGUAGGCUGGAGUGCAGUAGGGGAGACUGGAAUUCCUGGUGUAGCGGUGAAAUGCGCAGAUAUCAGGAGGAACACCGAUGGCGAAGGCAGGUCUCCGGGCUGUUACUGACGCUGAGGAGCGAAAGCAUGGGGAGCGAACA